rnacentral:rRNA from 1 species
GACGAACGCUGGCGGCGUGCCUAAUACAUGCAAGUCGAGCGGACUUGACAGAGCUUGCUCUGUUCAAGUUAGCGGCGGACGGGUGAGUAACACGUGGGCAACCUGCCCUGCAGAUUGGGAUAACUCCGGGAAACCGGGGCUAAUACCGAAUAACAUUGAAAACCUCAUGGUUUUCUUUUAAAAGGCGGCUUCGGCUGUCACUGCAGGAUGGGCCCGCGGCGCAUUAGCUAGUUGGUGAGGUAACGGCUCACCAAGGCGACGAUGCGUAGCCGACCUGAGAGGGUGAUCGGCCACACUGGGACUGAGACACGGCCCAGACUCCUACGGGAGGCAGCAGUAGGGAAUCUUCCGCAAUGGACAAAAGUCUGACGGAGCAACGCCGCGUGAGUGAAGAAGGUUUUCGGAUCGUAAAACUCUGUUGUUAGGGAAGAACAAGUAUCGGAGUAACUGCCGGUACCUUGACGGUACCUAACCAGAAAGCCACGGCUAACUACGUGCCAGCAGCCGCAGUAAAAC